rnacentral:tRNA from 1 species
GCGAUAGGGGUAUGGUGGUGAGCAUAGCUGCCUUCUAAGCAGUUGACCCGCGUUCGAUUCCCGGCCAUCGCA